CCUACGGGUGGCAGCAGUGAGGAAUAUUGGUCAAUGGGAGGAAUCCUGAACCAGCCAUGCCGCGUGCAGGACGACGGCUCUACGAGUUGUAAACUGCUUUUGUACCGGGGUCAAAUGCUCUAAGAGUCGGGUUUUGAAAGUAAGGUUCGAAUAAGGAACGGCUAACUCCGUGACAGCAGCCGCGGUAAUACGGAGGAUCCGAGCGUUAUCCGGAUUCAUUGGGUUUAAAGGGUGCGUAGGUUGUUUUAUAAGUUAGCGGUGAAAUACCGAUGCUCAACAUCGGGGCUGCAUCUAAUACUGUAAGACUAGAGAGCGGAUGCGGCAGGCGGAAUGGGUAGUGUAGCGGUGAAAUGCAUAGAGAUUACACAGAAUACCGAUUGCGAAGGCAGCUUGCUAGACCGGAUCUGACACUGAUGCACGAAAGCGUGGGGAUCGAACAGGAUUAGAUACCCUUGUAGUC
rnacentral:rRNA from 1 species